AGAGUUUGAUCAUGGCUCAGAUUGAACGCUGGCGGUAUGCUUAACACAUGCAAGUCGAACGGUAGCAGCUCUUCGGAGGCUGACGAGUGGCGGACGGGUGAGUAACGCGUAGGAAUCUGCCUAUUAGUGGGGGACAACUUAGGGAAACUUAAGCUAAUACCGCAUACGCCCUACGGGGGAAAGGAGGGGAUCUUCGGACCUUUCGCUAAUAGAUGAGCCUGCGUUAGAUUAGCUAGUUGGUGGGGUAACGGCCUACCAAGGCUUCGACGGGUAGCUGGUCUGAGAGGAUGAUCAGCCACACUGGCACUGAAACACGGGCCAGACUCCUACGGGAGGCAGCAGUGAGGAAUUUUGCGCAAUGGCCGCAAGGCUGACGCAGCAACGCCGCGUGGGUGAAGAAGGCCUUCGGGUCGUAAAGCCCUGUCAGGUGGGAAGAAUAUCCCUGUGGUGAAUAAUUGCGGGGACUGACGGUACCACCAGAGGAAGCACCGGCUAACUCCGUGCCAGCAGCCGCGGUAAUACGGAGGGUGCAAGCGUUAUUCGGAAUUACUGGGCGUAAAGCGCGUGCAGGCGGGCGAGCAAGUCUGAUGUGAAAGCCCCGGGCUUAACCUGGGAAGUGCAUUGGAAACGGUUCGUCUUGAGUUCUGGAGAGGAUGGGGGAAUUCCCGGUGUAGAGGUGAAAUUCGUAGAGAUCGGGAGGAAUACCAGUGGCGAAGGCGCCCAUCUGGACAGUAACUGACGCUGAGACGCGAAAGCGUGGGGAGCAAACAGGAUUAGAUACCCUGGUAGUCC
rnacentral:rRNA from 1 species